CAGUAGCCGCGGUAAUACGUAGGGUGCAAGCGUUAAUCGGAAUUACUGGGCGUAAAGCGUGCGCAGGCGGUUUGUUAAGACAGAUGUGAAAUCCCCGGGCUUAACCUGGGAACUGCAUUUGUGACUGGCAAGCUAGAGUCUGGCAGAGGGGGGUGGAAUUCCGCGUGUAGCAGUGAAAUGCGUAGAUACGCGGAGGAACACCGAUGGCGAAGGCAGCCCCCUGGGCCAACACUGACGCUCAUGCACGAAAGCGAGGGGAGCAAACAGGAUUAGAUACCCCCGUAGUCCCUGUCUCUUAUAC
rnacentral:rRNA from 1 species